UCGAACAACUUGCCCAUAUGCGACAGCAG
rnacentral:sRNA from 1 species